UCCCGCUGCUUCCGCUGCCGCGCUGUUGUCGGCGAUCUUCUUCGAGUCGCUUCCCUCCUCCAUGAUUAACGCCUAACAAACAAGAACAGGAGCAUAAUGACAUGAUCGAUCCACAUAGACGGAGAGCAAAGAAAUAAAAGAUCAGAUGGACAUAUUUGAUCAGCAAAUGAUACAUAAAAGGAGUAGCAAGCUGCAUGCAAGUUUUUUGUUUAGCUGAUAUGAUCAUGCUUGAGAAAAUUGGCCUUCAUGGGUUGAAUGUGAAGAUCAUCUCUGCAGGCGCCUGCAGGUGGUGAGCUCUUGUGAUAAGAUAGCAUUCUGAGAAGUGCCAUGGAAACACAUGCCACUACUGAACAAUCAAAUAGAGCUAUCUAAAGACUCGGGAAACACUGAAAAGGGGAUUUCUAUCCUUCUAUUGGAGCUUCUAGUGGUAUAUUAUUAGCUCGGUCUAUUAAUUUAGCAAAUGUUCAGG